ACUUAGUGGCAGACGGGUGAGUAACAUGUGGGUAUCUACCCUUUGGCCUGGAAUAACACGAGGAAACUUGUGCUAAUACCGGAUAAGUCUUUACGGAGAAAGCUUUAUGCACCAUUGGAUGAGCCCGCACUUGAUUAGUUUGUUGGUAGGGUAAUGGCCUACCAAGACUAUGAUCAAUAGCUGAUUUGAGAGGAUGAUCAGCCACAUUGGGACUGAGACACGGCCCAAACUCCUACGGGAGGCAGCAGUGGGGAAUCUUGCACAAUGGAGGAAACUCUGAUGCAGCGAUGCCGCGUGAGUGAAGAAGGCCUUUGGGUUGUAAAGCUCUUUCGUCGGGGAAGAAAAUGACUGUACCCGAAUAAGAAGGUCCGGCUAACUUCGUGCCAGCAGCCGCGGUAAUACGAAGGGACCUAGCGUAGUUCGGAAUUACUGGGCUUAAAGAGUUCGUAGGUGGUUGAAAAAGUUGGUGGUGAAAUCCCAGAGCUUAACUCUGGAACUGCCAUC
rnacentral:rRNA from 1 species